GCCUGCAGCUGCUGUGAUGCUGCCUGAAAAUUCUGCUCAGCAUCCCACUGACAUCAAGCAGCAGAUGAGAACUUCACAACCAUUAUAAUCUGUUCAGAAAGAAGAAACAAUUUUGGAAUAAAGUAUUUGGUUUUGCUUACAAUUUUCUAUUUUAUUGUCUGUCUUGUUAUUGGUAUCUAUUGGUUUGUGCAUGUAUCUGAGAUAGAGAUAAUAAGUAUUGUUGUUGUCUUCUGGUUCGUGUGCCAUAUUAUUUGUUUAUUGUCAUAGAAAAUGAAAAAGUGGUCUGGAGAUUAUAGUUAUACUGUAAAAGUUCUGAACUCAAACAUGGUGUGCUUGUGCAGUCAAUGUGUUAUAGAAUUAGCAACAGUUUUUG
rnacentral:misc_RNA from 1 species